rnacentral:rRNA from 1 species
GACGAACGCUGGCGGCGUGCUUAACACAUGCAAGUCGAACGGACAGGCCCUGCUUUUGUGGGGUGCUCGAGUGGCGAACGGGGGAGUAACACGUGAGUUACCUGCCCUGCACUUUGGGAUACCCUCAUGACACUGGGGCUCAUACCGGGUAGGAGCUCCUGCUGCAUGGUGGGCGUUGGACAGUUUCGGCGGUUGGGGAUGGACUCGCGGCUUAUCAGCUUGAUGGUGGGGUAGUGGCAUAGCAAGGCUUUGCAGGGUAGCAGGCCUGCGCGGGUCAGCGGAUACAUGGGGACUGAGAUGCGGCCCAGACUCCUACGGGAGGCAGGAGUGGAGAAUAGUGCACAAUGGGCGGAGGCCUGAUGCAGCAACGCCGCGUGCGGGAUGACGGGCAUCGGUUUGUAAACCGCUGUCGCCUGUGACGAAGCGAGAGUGACGGUAAUGGGUAAAGAAGCACCGGCUAACUACGUG